AACCUCUUUAUAAGCAUGAUGAUUGGGUGUUCACAUGUUUGUGGGACAGGUGCUUCCUUUAAAUCUUGCCAUGCACUUGGCACAUUGUACAUCUGAUG
rnacentral:snoRNA from 1 species